rnacentral:rRNA from 1 species
AUUGAACGCUGGCGGCAGGCCUAACACAUGCAAGUCGAGCGGAUGAAGGGAGCUUGCUCCUGGAUUCAGCGGCGGACGGGUGAGUAAUGCCUAGGAAUCUGCCUGGUCGUGGGGGAUAACGUCCGGAAACGGGCGCUAAUACCGCAUACGUCCUGAGGGAGAAAGUGGGGGAUCUUCGGACCUCACGCUAUCAGAUGAGCCUAGGUCGGAUUAGCUAGUUGGUGGGGUAAAGGCCUACCAAGGCGACGAUCCGUAACUGGUCUGAGAGGAUGAUCAGUCACCCUGGAACUGAGACACGGUCCAGACUCCUACGGGAGGCAGCAGUGGGGAAUAUUGGACAAUGGGCGAAAGCCUGAUCCAGCCAUGCCGCGUGUGUGAAGAAGGUCUUCGGAUUGUAAAGCACUUUAAGUUGGGAGGAAGGGCAGUAAGUUAAUACCUUGCUGUUUUGACGUUACCAACAGAAUAAGCACCGGCUAACUUCGUG